rnacentral:rRNA from 1 species
AUUGAACGCUGGCGGCAGGCCUAACACAUGCAAGUCGAACGGUAACAGGGAUCAGCUUGCUGAUUCGCUGACGAGUGGCGGACGGGUGAGUAAUGUCUGGGAAACUGCCUGAUGGAGGGGGAUAACUACUGGAAACGGUAGCUAAUACCGCAUAACGUCGCAAGACCAAAGAGGGGGACCUUCGGGCCUCUUGCCAUCGGAUGUGCCCAGAUGGGAUUAGCUAGUAGGUGGGGUAACGGCUCACCUAGGCGACGAUCCCUAGCUGGUCUGAGAGGAUGACCAGCCACACUGGAACUGAGACACGGUCCAGACUCCUACGGGAGGCAGCAGUGGGGAAUAUUGCACAAUGGGCGCAAGCCUGAUGCAGCCAUGCCGCGUGUAUGAAGAAGGCCUGCGGGUUGUAAAGUACUUUCAGCGGGGAGGAAGGGAGUAAAGUUAAUACCUUUGCUCAUUGACGUUACCCGCAGAAGAAGCACCGGCUAACUCCGU